GGUAUUGAUUGGUGCUUGCAUCAUGAUUUACAUUUGAGUGAGUGGCGAACUGGUGAGUAACACGUGGGAAACCUGCCCAGAAGCGGGGGAUAACACCUGGAAACAGAUGCUAAUACCGCAUAACAACUUGGACCGCAUGGUCCGAGUUUGAAAGAUGGCUUCGGCUAUCACUUCUGGAUGGUCCCGCGGCGUAUUAGCUAGAUGGUGAGGUAACGGCUCACCAUGGCAAUGAUACGUAGCCGACCUGAGAGGGUAAUCGGCCACAUUGGGACUGAGACACGGCCCAAACUCCUACGGGAGGCAGCAGUAGGGAAUCUUCCACAAUGGACGAAAGUCUGAUGGAGCAACGCCGCGUGAGUGAAGAAGGGUUUCGGCUCGUAAAACUCUGUUGUUAAAGAAGAACAUAUCUGAGAGUAACUGUUCAGGUAUUGACGGUAUUUAACCAGAAAGCCACGGCUAACUACGUGCCAGCAGCCGCGGUAAUACGUAGGUGGCAAGCGUUGUCCGGAUUUAUUGGGCGUAAAG
rnacentral:rRNA from 2 species